GUCUACGGCCAUGCUACCAUGAAGAAGCCAGAUUCCGUCUGAUCUCGGAAGCUAAGCAGGGUUGGGCCUGGUAAGUACUUGGAUGGGAGACCACCUAGGAAGAGCAGGUGCUGUAGGCG
rnacentral:rRNA from 1 species